rnacentral:rRNA from 1 species
GAUGAACGCUAGCUACAGGCUUAACACAUGCAAGUCGGGGGGAAACGAUAGAGAAAGCUUGCUUCUUCUAGGCGUCGACCGGCGCACGGGUGAGUAACGCGUAUCCAACCUGCCCAUCACUUGGGGAUAACCUUGCGAAAGUAAGACUAAUACCCAAUGACGUCCAUAGAAGACAUCUGAAAGGGAUUAAAGAUUUAUCGGUGAUGGAUGGGGAUGCGUCUGAUUAGCUUGUUGGCGGGGUAACGGCCCACCAAGGCUACGAUCAGUAGGGGUUCUGAGAGGAAGGUCCCCCACAUUGGAACUGAGACACGGUCCAAACUCCUACGGGAGGCAGCAGUGCGGAAUAUUGGUCAAUGGACGAGAGUCUGAACCAGCCAAGUAGCGUGCAGGAUGACGGCCCUAUGGGUUGUAAACUGCUUUUAUAAGGGAAUAAAGUGAGUCUCGUGAGACUUUUUGCAUGUACCUUAUGAAUAAGGACCGGCUAAUUCCGUGCCAGCAGCCGCAGUAA